rnacentral:snRNA from 1 species
GCCACGAAGCACAAACAUUAUCUCCUAGCUUCUGAGGUUCAACUGAAGCAUGAUUAUUACUAAUUGAAAACUUUUCCAAAUAUCCUGCCUUGAGAGGUUGAAAUACAGCUGUCAUUAGCAAUUUUUAGUAGCUUCUUUAGAGG